AUUGAACGCUGGCGGCAGGCCUAACACAUGCAAGUCGAGCGAAUGAGGGAAGCUUGCUUCCCGAUUUAGCGGCGGACGGGUGAGUAAUGCCUAGGAAUCUGCCUAUUAGUGGGGGAUAACGUUCCGAAAGGAACGCUAAUACCGCAUACGUCCUACGGGAGAAAGUGGGGGAUCUUCGGACCUCACGCUAAUAGAUGAGCCUAGGUCGGAUUAGCUAGUUGGUGAGGUAACGGCUCACCAAGGCGACGAUCCGUAGCUGGUCUGAGAGGAUGAUCAACCACACUGGAACUGAGACACGGUCCAGAGUCCAACGGGAGGCAGCAGUGGGGAAUAUUGGACAAUGGGCGAAAGCCGGAUCCAGCCAUGCCGCGUGUGUGAAGAAGAUCUUCGGAUUGUAAAGCACUUUAAGUUGGGAGGAAGGGUUGUAAGCUAAUAUCUUGCAGCUUUGACGUUACCAACAGAAUAAGCACCGGCUAACUCUGUGCCAGCAGCCGCCGUAAAAC
rnacentral:rRNA from 1 species